GUCCCUGUAGCGCAAUGGAUAGCGCGUUGGACUUCUAAUCCAAGGGUCGCGGGUUCGAACCCCACCAGAAAUG